rnacentral:rRNA from 1 species
UGCAGUCGAACGAUGAAGCCCAGCUUGCUGGGUGGAUUAGUGGCGAACGGGUGAGUAACACGUGAGUAACCUGCCCUUGACUCUGGGAUAAGCCUGGGAAACUGGGUCUAAUACUGGAUAUGACUUCUCACCGCAUGGUGGGGGGUGGAAAGAUUUAUUGGUCUUGGAUGGACUCGCGGCCUAUCAGCUUGUUGGUGAGGUAAUGGCUCACCAAGGCGACGACGGGUAGCCGGCCUGAGAGGGUGACCGGCCACACUGGGACUGAGACACGGCCCAGACUCCUACGGGAGGCAGCAGUGGGGAAUAUUGCACAAUGGGCGCAAGCCUGAUGCAGCGACGCCGCGUGAGGGAUGACGGCCUUCGGGUUGUAAACCUCUUUCAGUAGGGAAGAAGCGAAAGUGACGGUACCUGCAGAAGAAGCGCCGGCUAACUACGUGCCAGCAGCCGCGGUAAUACGUAGGGCGCGAGCGUUAUCCGGAAUUAUUGGGCGUAAAGAGCUCGUAGGCGGUUUGUCGCGUCUGCCGUGAAAGUCCGGGGCUUAACCCCGGAUCUGCGGUGGGUACGGGCAGACUAGAGUGCAGUAGGGGAGACUGGAAUUCCUGGUGUAGCGGUGAAAUGCGCAGAUAUCAGGAGGAACACCGAUGGCGAAGGCAGGUCUCUGGGCUGUAACUGACGCUGAGGAGCGAAAGCAUGAGGAGCGAACAGGAUUAGAUACCCUGGUAGUCCAUGCCGUAAACGUUGGGCACUAGGUGUGGGGGACAUUCCACGUUUUCCGCGCCGUAGCUAACGCAUUAAGUGCCCCGCCUGGGGAGUACGGCCGCAAGGCUAAAACUCAAAGGAAUUGACGGGGGCCCGCACAAGCGGCGGAGCAUGCGGAUUAAUUCGAUGCAACGCGAAGAACCUUACCAAGGCUUGACAUGUUCCUGACCGCCGUAGAGAUACGGUUUCCCCUUUGGGGCAGGUUCACAGGUGGUGCAUGGUUGUC